CACGCAUGACACACUGCAUAUCAAUAAGCGGAGGAAAAGAAACUAACAAGGAUUCCCCUAGUAACGGCGAGUGAAGCGGGAAGAGCUCAAAUUUGAAAUCUUAAAGGGUUUCCCUUUACGAAUUGUAGUUUAAAGAAGUGUUUUCUGUUGGAGUUUCGGUAAAAGUUCUUUGGAAUAGGACAUCAUAGAGGGUGAGAAUCCCGUAUUUGACCGUCACUUUCUAGCUGUGUGAUACACUUCCAACGAGUCGGAUUGUUUGGGAAUGCAGUCCAAAAUGGGUGGUAAAUUUCAUCUAAAGCUAAAUAUUGGCGAGAGACCGAUAGCGAACAAGUACCGUGAGGGAAAGAUGAAAAGAACUUUGAAAAGAGAGUUAAACAGUACGUGAAAUUGUCAAAAGGGAAGCGUUUGACACCAGUGUUGUUUUCUCGAAAAUCAAUUAAAAAUGAUGGAUUUGGGUUGUAUUGACCUUAUCAGCUUCUGCACUUUGGUUUCUGGUAUCUUUUUGAUGCACUUUUCGGUUAACAAGUCAACAUCAAUUUCUUUUGUUGUAAAAGGGUAUGAGGAAGGUGGCUUUCUUUUCGGAGAAAGUGUUUAUAGCCUUGUACCUCUGCAAUCGGAGAGAUUGAGGUCUGCAGCGUAGAUCCUUCGGGGUUGGAUACAUUUGUGCUAAGUUAUAGCUUUUCAUAGACAACUUGUUGACUAUGUUAAGUCUUGUAGCUUACUCGCUUAUGCUAUUUUACCUACGCUUAGGAUGUUGAAGACUCUACAGAGAUA
rnacentral:rRNA from 1 species